rnacentral:rRNA from 1 species
GAUGAACGCUAGCGGCAGGCCUAACACAUGCAAGUCGAGGGGUAACAUAGAAAAGCUUGCUUUUCUGAUGACGACCGGCGCACGGGUGCGUAACGCGUAUACAACCUACCUUUUAGCGGGGAAUAGCCCAGGGAAACUUGGAUUAAUGCCCCAUAGUAUAUAGACUUCUCCUGAAGUUUAUAUUAAACAUUUAUGGCUAUUAGAUGGGUAUGCGUCCUAUUAGUUAGUUGGUAAGGUAACGGCUUACCAAGGCAGCGAUAGGUAGGGGUCCUGAGAGGGAGAUCCCCCACACUGGUACUGAGACACGGACCAGACUCCUAUGGGAGGCAGCAGUGAGGAAUAUUGGACAAUGGGCGAGAGCCUGAUCCAGCCAUGCCGCGUGCAGGAAGACUGCCCUAUGGGUUGUAAACUGCUUUUACAGAGGAAGAACCACCCCCACGUGUGGGGGUUUGACGGUACUCUGCGAAUAAGGAUCGGCUAACUCCGUG